ensembl:lncRNA
AUGUUUGGGUUUUAAAAAGACUGAAAUAAAGGCAUGUUGAAAUUCUUCUCUCCUACUUUAUAAUGCUGCUCACCUCAAACCUAACGCUAAGCGAUGUGUUUAAUGCUGUAGAUCACCCAGACUUUGCCAGAUGCCCGCAGCCUUUGCCACUGACCAGCCCCAGCACGCCCAUCUCCAGCUGUGAGCUCAAUAAAAACACCCGCCGGUGCCAUCAGCAACGCCUGGCCACACACCUGUCCUGCCGCCUUUACCAAACCUGUGAUCAUGCUGUUCUCCUGUCAGGUGGCUGGCAGGAGCAGAUAACAUACCAACAACAUGCGAAGAACCUGCAGCUCCUCUACCAGAUGUUAAGGAACAACGGUUUCCAUAAGGACCACAUAAAGACAUUCUUUGCUGGGAAUGGACAGGUAGCAGGUCAGAGAUCAUUUCAAGUCAUUUAAGCUUUUAUUGGGGUAUACACCCUAAUGCUUUAUAUUCAGAUUCAACAACUGUUUUUAUUUCUACAGCUAAAGAGACAGAGGGAAUGUAUCCAGCCACAGAGAAAGAGGUGAUCAGGAAUCACAUUUCCUACAUCUGCCGUAAGCAGCACUGUGUGGAUUCUCUUGUUCUGUACCUGAACAGCCCCACACGCAAUGACGGCACCAUGCUGCUCUGGGACCGCAAUAACAACGGCAUUGCAGAUCUGAAGGAGCGUUACUCUGUGGGUGAACUGCUAGCGGAUCUGGCCGGGUGCAGGGCCAGUCGGGUGCUGCUCUUUGUGGAGCAGAGCUACAGUGGAGUCCUCAGCAAAAGACUGAUGGGAUCUCUCAAACACGUCAAUGUCGUGCUGCUGAACGGCCUGCCCUCGGUGCACACAGCUGAGUUCUGGGCCUCUCUGCACCCAUCCGAUUGCCUCAUAGACCACCUCAGUAAGGUCAGAUUUAUCAAGCCUUUGUGAAGCUGCUCUCUUCAGAUCACUCUUUUUAUUGUUCAAAACAAGGUAUACACCUUAUUUUUAACUUGAGAGCAGGGCACAACAAUUUGUAACUUAAAUGUGUGAUGCUUACGGUGUCAGCUGCUUUACAAAAACAAUCUUUUCUGUGGAACAGAGCCAAAUCCAAAGGUCAAUUUUGACUGAAAAUGGUCACUAGACAAAUGGUAGCCAAUGUUGUGCCGAUGUGUCUUUUUAUAUAACAUUUAUAUUUCAGAUCAUCUGUUGGAAAACUUAAAUUUCUGCCUGUUUUCCACAUAAAGUUAUCGUACGAAGAGCUUAAACUCACUCUCUCUAUGCUUAAUCUAACAUCAGAGUUCUGGGAUACCCCAACUGGCUGAUGCUGCUCUGGGAUUGCUGAACGUGACUCUGGCUGGUGCUCCGUGCAACUCCACCCCUCCUCUCACCGAUGCCGAAAUGAGGAAAGAGUACAUGGGCUGCCAGAACCUCCCCACAGCUCUGUGGUACCAAAAACGGCCCAAGACUGACAAUAGCUGGAACUGAGUGAACUGACAGUUUCCAGGUCUUUCAGGAGGACUAGAACCAACUCUACUGUUCCAAAUACAUAAUUUGAUGGACACUUCAGUGGAGUACUUCCAUGGAAAACAAGUAGUCCUAGAAAUAUGACUUUGUAUAAUGCACAAACUUCAAAUUUAUGACCAGCCCUUUCCUCUCUCUCACACACACAAAAGAAUCUACCUGUGUGAGCGCACUUAAUUCACCCGGUGAUGCACAUAGACCUUUGACAAGCUGUUGAGGAACAGAGACUACAUAAUGCACGCUUAAGAGAUCGAAAGAAGAGAUGGACAUGCAGGACACAGAGAGAGAAAGCAUCUGACGUGUCCUCACUUUGAACCUCAGUUCCCCUGCUUGCCACUCCGUAGAACGCAUCCCAUAGGGAGCGUCCCAUGCAAACUUCUCCUCUCUCUGCCUGCCGUGGGGGUUCAGCGCAGGGGCAUCCACGCUCCUUUACCUGAGUGCUCUUCCGUGGGUCAUCGCACAGGGCGCGCCUGGAACUGAACAAUGGUGACAAGGCCACUCUGAAACACACCUCACACUCACUUGAACAUUUCAGGACAAAUCUCCUUGUCCCUCCUUCAGCUCAGUAAGGGACAGGGCGGUCCAGAAUGAUUUAGUAAUGAGAAAUGUUCCCUCACCACGUCUGGACCCUAGCAGACACUGGGCUCUGCAAGCAUGUAUUUAAGUCAGACCUCUUAUCCACCCUGUAUUAACCACUCUGUCCGCAGUAUUCCCUUAUCUCCGCAAACAUUUAAACGCCAGCCACUGAUAAUGUUGACAGUGACAAGAAGGUAUUUCAGGCCCCACUCCAGCUCCUGUGGGAAUUCAUACACAUUCUUCAAAAAUUACAGGCAGUAGGAUAUAAUUUUUCCGCAGGGUAUCUACUUGGUCAGAAAUAUACACUAUCAUUCAAAAGUUUGGGGUUAGUAGGAUUUUUUUAAAAAUGCUUUUGAAAUUAGUCUCUUAUAUUAUGGCUGCAUGUAUAUGAUCAAAAAUGCAGUAGAAACAGCUAUAUUUGGAAAUAUUAAAAUGUUUAAAUAAUGUUGCUAUUUAAAAAUAUUUUAAUCCUUUUUAAAAUCAAAGUUUAUCCUUCAGAAUUCAUUCUUAUUUCCUGAUUUGGUGCUAUAGAACCAUUUAUUUUGUAUCAAAGUUGAAAACAGAUGUGCUGCUUAAUAUUUUUGUGGAAACAUUGAUGCUUUUUUUUCAGGGUUCUUUGAUGAAUAGAAAGUUCAAAAGAACAGUGUUUAUUUAAAAUAGAAAUCUUUUAAACAUUAUAAAUGUCUUUACUGUCACUUCUGAUCAAUUUAAUGUCCUUACGUCAUAAAAAAAAACACUUACCCCAAACUUUUAAACACUCACAUGGACUGCCAUCGAUUUCUUCAUGCUUUUCUCACAAUACUGAUGUAAGUGGGCCAAAGCCCCAUCAAACUUCAGUGCAUUGUAGUCAAUUAUUAACUCCAAGUUUUGUAUAGUUCAGAAAUGUGUUAUCCUGUAAAUAUUUCUAUCAUGUUCUACUUAAUGAAUGAAUUUUAAUGGUCUAAAAGGAUUAUACAUGUUAUUGUUUGUGUUAAAACAUAGCUGGAGUGAAAAGAUGUAAAUACUCUAAAUAAAUUAACUUUUGUACAUAGUCA